AAGUCGUAACAAGGUUUCCGUAGGUGAACCUGCGGAAGGAUCAUUAAAGUUUGCUUAAUUGCAUUACACAUGUUUUUUUAGAGAACUUUCUUGCAAGAACACUAAUAAUUUACUUAGUCAACAAAUAAAAAUAUCAAAACUUUCAACAACGGAUCUCUUGGUUCUC
rnacentral:misc_RNA from 1 species